GAACCGACUCUUUUGGUGAACGUAGGAAACGGAUUGACAAAUGUGAAGGAUUGUGUGAGUGAGUGAGGAUGAGGAGAAGAAUCAGACGGACGAGGUGUCCGGUGCUCCUGUGGACAGAGAGAGCUCCAAGCUGAAGGAGUGAGUGAGGGAGCUGGAGGAACUGUUCUGUGAGACACACAGAGAGUGUGAGAGAAACAACAAGCUACAGUCACAUUAAAAUGGAUCACUUUAAUUCUACGAUCAUUAACGCUAUUUGAAAUAUGAGGAAGCGAUGGAGUACAUAAGCCAAGUCAAGACGAGAACUCCAACCUGAGGUCUGAUGUGGAAACUCUACAAGACUCGGUGCAGGAGUUGGACGAGAGCUCGCUGUGUCCUGGAUAACAUGAAAAGAGAUAACAAGAGAAUGUGAUGGAGCAAAACAUCAGCUGAGGAUCCUGCAGUCCGAGUGCAGUGAGAUGAAGGACAUUUUACUGAAGGCCUCUCUCUCUAUGAAGCUGAAUGCAAAUAUGAGAAGACAGUGAUGACCAGUGUUGAGCUGGAGAAGACGAACUCUGACCUGAUGUCCCUGGUGACCACGCUGCAAGGUACAGUGGAGGUGAUGGAGAAGAAGCUCGCUGAGACAUGCAGGACGUGUGAUGACUUCCCUGCUGAAAAAUCCAGCAUAAACCAGCAUGAAUUCCAUGCUGGUCCAGGCUGGUUUUUACUGGUUCAUGCUGGUAUAGUGCUGGUAUAAUGCUGGUAUAGUGCUGGUAUAGAUUGGUGGCCAGCAUAGUCAUGGUGUUAUCAAUCAAAACAGGGCUGGUGUAGCUCUUUAACCAGUAUGAUCUUUCUGGAAUGAGUUUUAUGGGAACAACCUUUAUUUUUGCUUGUAUAUGUUUCUAUGUAACACAUUAAUAUAAGAUUAAAACACAAUAUAUUGGAAUAUAUUUAA